AGGACUCCAGGUUGCCCACCGAGGGUGAUGACGUCAGCCACAGGCCCGCGUCACUAUUGGCUCAAUGUGACGUAAGCGACGCUCCUUGCCAUCUUAUUGGUUGAUGAUAGCUGUGGCCCGGGUUGUACCUGCCCCUUCCGACUUUGCUCUGUAACACUUCCUCAGAGAAGUGGGCGCGUGGGCGCGUGGGGCGCCCCUUGGGGACCCCUCCUGUCCCUCAGGAGCUGCUCCCAUUCUCCGUUCCCGUCUUAACCUUGUCGUUCGUUAGAUCGCAGGGCCAUGUCUGCCACCAUCGGGCUGACCGACCCCUGCCUGCUGCCCACUGCACGCGGCGGGACGCAGGGCUGCCACGCGCGACACUGAGUGAUGGCCAGAAGAGAUGCGGGACGGACCCACAGUCCCCCGGCGUCAGGACACGCCCAUCGGUGUCCACCCUGGGAACGCUGACCCCGCGCAGCCCAUCCAGACUCCCUGAGCCGAUGGGCCCGGCCCCAGACCAGCAGGCCCGGCCCUUCCGCCAGGCCACCCACCGGCUGCCCUCGCAGGCCUGUGAAAGCGGCCUCUCCCACAUCCCGGUGUCACCCAACCCCGCGCCGCUGACUAACAAGCGUUUCCUCCUGUCACUGGCCCUCUCACAGCUGCUGCUGGGAGCCGGACUCUCACCCAAAGAGACACAGGCCGAGGCUGCUUACUCCGGUCACUUCCUGCUUUUCCACGUGGCAGGUCGGGGCAGAGGUGGCAUCUGACAUUCUGUCGUUGAGGCCAGCCAAGCUGUACUCUCACCCCAGGCCCAGGACCUCCCCUUGCAGCCUCUGUGUGUGUGCGCUGGCCUCUGUAUCUUGGAUACCCAACGGCCACCCACCCAUCAGGAGUUCGCAGGCACCCUGCUUUGGUGUCCCAGGAGCGCUCGCAGAUCUACCCAUGCUCACAGGUGCUUGCCUGCACUCUUGUCCCGAACAGCUGAGGUGACGUGGGCCAGGCCCAACUGUGUUCAGAGGCAGUCGCUCUGGCAAGAGGUGAAUCAGACGUUGGCUGGAAUUUCAGCUGCUUGCUUGCUUGGUGAACUGGAUCCUGGCAGGAUGUGAGCUGACUCUUAGGAAUUACCCUGGGGAUUGAUUAAAGUUGGACCUUCACGCUGACUUGUCACCAGCCCUUUAUUAGUAGUAUUUUAUUUUAUUUUUUAUUUUAAAAUCAGAGUUUCAGUCACUCUGGGUUCCCAAUUCAGUCCCAAUCUGGGUUCAAGGAUUUCAGAUCCUUGUGUCUCAGCCCCUUGAGAGCUGGGGAUGACACCCACCCACCCACCUCAGGAGUCCUCACCUGAGUUUGAGGGUGAUAGAGAAGACUGGAUUGCUGAGUGAUGCAAAGAAACCGAGAUCUCGAGAUUUCGGUUCCUUAUUAAUACGUUUGCUCAUUUCUUUUGCCUAAGCUACUUUGAGUUAGGCUUUCUGCAUUUGCAAGACAGGAAGUCUUGAACAGCACUCUUGUGGGCAGCUGUGAAGACUAUUUCUUUUCCUUCUCGUUUUUUAAAAAGUGUUUGUCUGUUUUUUGAGACAGGAUCUCACUGUGCAGUUCAGGCUGCGCUCACACCCCAGCGGUUUCCCCUCCGCCGUCUCCGGUGUGCACCAUCCACAGUGGCUUUGGAUUUGGUUCUCUGAGACAGCGUCUCGAAAUGUGGCCCAGGCUGGCCUUGAGCUUACAGUGGUCCUCCUGCCUCAGCCUCCAGGGUGCUGGGAUUGCAGGCCCGUGUCACCACGCCUGGCUCCUUCUCUGCUCUUGUUCUGAUUCAGUGUUUUCUUUAUCUAAUGCUUCUGUUUUAUAUAAUCCUAAAGCAUCUGAAAGAUAUGUGAUAUCAGAAAAGAUGAAAAUGAUGGUGAUGGCAGGAAAGGUGGCAGUGUACUAGCCGUCUUGAUUUAAAGUGCUGCUGCCUGGCAAGAAUUAGAAUCAGAGCAGAAGUGGGCAGUGGGCAAGGGCAGUGUAAGGAAAACCCAGCUUUGUGACCAGGCAUAGGGCACACGCCCGUAAUCCCAGAACUCGGGAGGCUGAGGCAGGGGAUUCUGCAGGCUUGAGGUAGCCUGAACAACAGAGUGAGACCCGGUGUCAUCACAAACAAGAAACCCAGCUCUGAACUGUAUCUCUGGGGUGACAGGGCCUUCCUCUCAGAUAAGUGGCAUAGUAAAAUGCAUACCGUGAUCAGCUGAGUUUGGUAGUGUGUGCCUGUAAUUCCAGUGGGCUGACUCGAGAGGACGAAGGUUUGUGUCCAGCCUGGGCCACUUAGCAACUUAGUGAGACCCUGUCUCAAAAUAAUAAAAAACUUUAAAAGGCUGGGGAUGUGACUCAGUGCGAGCGCCCAGGUUCAAUCCCCCGAUGGCAAAAUAAUAACAGAAGAGACCUCCUCUUUUUUCUCUUUCUUUCUUUCUCUCUGUCUCUCAGUUUCUUUCUUCCUCUCUCUGUUUCUCUUUCUCUCUCUCUAUAGAGUCUCCCUAUGCAGCCUAGACUAGCUUUGAAUUCAUGGUAAUCCUCCUGCCUCAGCCUCCAGCAACCCAAGAUUACAGGUACGCACCUCUAUUUCUGGCAGGAGGAAGUUACUUAAAUUCCUACAAGAAGCCUCUCUGGGAGGUGACGAUUACAGUUGCUAUUUGUGCCCUGGUGAGGGGCUCUUUCCUUUUCUUCUGAAGAAUGAGAGCCGGGAGCAGUCUGGAUGUAUAAACGCCUGCAGGUGUAGAGGAAGCAAGCAGUGUCUAACCGAGUCUCCCACCUCACCCCGUCACAGACAUCUUCCCAUGUCACACAGGGUACGAGUGUGAAUUUCGAGUUUCUUCGUCCCUUCUCAUGCCUGGAAUGAACAGUAUGCAAGCCCUGCACCUACACGCAACCAACUCGGGCUGUUUGGAUUGACGGAAAGAACCGAAUCCUGGACUCCAGAGUUGAGUUAAAAGUUAUCCACCCGGGGCUGGAGAAUGCCGGCACAGGCCUGGAGACCAUUCGGAUGCAGAUGCAUUUGUGUGCUGGUGCGCCCCGAGGCUGGGCUCCAUCAGCUCGGCCAGGACUGCACUCUGGCACAUAUUGCAUUCUUGAACUCAGACAGCAGCCUGCCCAGGCCUGCGGGCCUGGGGUUUUCGUGAACAUGGUGAGUUACUGGUGUGAGGGUCCAUCCACUGGGAAAGCCUCAGUUUAUGGCACCUUCUGUUUCCCAGGGAGCCCAACCUACUUCAUAUCAAUUACCUCAUCUAUCUGCAAAACUCCUGUCUGAGAUUUGGAAUUAUUGUUUUUCUUUCUUGACAAUGGGUCUGUGGGCAGGUGACAGAUGUGCUGAUGUUAAUGAUGCCCAGGGCCAGCAGCGCAGUGGGGACAGGCAGGUCUGGGCUUCACCCCUGUGAGGAGCCCUGCAGCAGGGAGAGGAGCUGGAGGGGUUGGUCCAAGGGACCAUCCUUCUGCAUGCCCCUUGACACCCCCAUCAGGGGCCUGGGGUGGUCUGUUCCUCGUACUGAGUCUGUAUCUGGGGUAACACCAUGGACCGGACCCCACAUGUACCCCGUGCUCCUUUCACGAGGCUCAAGGCUCCAUCCAGGAGCCUUGAGCCUGCUAGGCAAGCACACUACCUUGGGCUCCCCAGCUGGAUGCCAGGACUCCCCUGGGAAAGAGCACCUCAUCUUUCUCAAGGGGCACAAGCAGCUGGGGAGGACCACGCACAUGGGAAGAACCCCCGUGGCCCCAUGACACAAACCCAACAUGAAGAUUCAGGUUUCCAGGCUCCAGAUGGGGCCUCAGCCCCCCCCCCCCCAGCUUUCUGGGUGCUUCUGCACUGUCUUGCGCUGCACACAGCCGGAGACCAGCUAUCCUUGCUGGAGGGACAGGAGUUCUUGCUCUUUGUCAUGCAACAGACCUAGUCAGAUACUCCUGGGGCUGACCCUCAGUGGCUGUGGCUGAGGAGCCCAAGUGCGGUACAAACCAUUCCCAAAUUUAUUUGUUUACAAAAUAUUUAUUUACUUAUUUGUGUAUGUUGCAGCACUGGGGAUUGAAACCAGGGCCUUCUCCCUAAGCCACAUCGCUGGCCCUUUAUUAUCUUUUGAGACACGGUCUGUCUCUCAAAGACUCUAAAUUGCCACAAUCUGGACUCAAAUGUGUGAUGCUCCUGCCUCAGCCUCCUAGAGGACUGGAUUGCAGGCCUGCACACCACGCCCAGGGCCUGUGCAGUGCGGUGGGUUUGAAAGCUCGCUGGAGGGCAGGGGCAGUCACAGCAGGGGUGUCGUGGGUGUCAGCCCCUCCUUGCCUUUGCUGUCUCCCCAUCAGUUCUGCGCUCUUCCGUGCCACCUCCGCUCAGUUAUUCUGUGCACCUCUCUUGGAACCCGGGCAAGGGUUGAAGGGGACGCAGGGUUACAGUCUGGAGGGAAAGAGAAGAAAAGUGACUACACCUUGCCGUGCAGUCGCCUAAGAGAGGAAGCUGAGGGGAGGGGAGCUCCUGAGCAGGCAAAGCCUUUUCUUGAGCCAGGCAAGGCGACCCACACCUGUAAUUACAGACUCAGGAGGCUGAAGCAGGAGGAUCACUGUGAGUUUGAGGGCACCCUGGGCUACAUAGUGAGUUCAAGGCCAGCCUGGACCACGGAGAGAUCAAGGUCUACCAGGUGGUCAAGGCAGUAACAAGAAAUCCACUUCCUGCUUUGGGCAAGCCUUCCGGGCUAAGGCAGAGGUAGGACAUGAUCAGGGGCCCCGGGACACUCGAGACUGACCUGAUGUGCCAACGAGUGCAAGUGGUGGCCACUAGGAUUCUAUACACACACCUUUCUGGUCCUUUGGCUAGUGUGGACUGGACUCGCAGGGGAACUAUUUUAGAGUCAUGCCCAUCAGUAGGGAAUGGGGGUAGCCCCAGAGCAUGCUGACCUGCUGGCCAGGGAAUUCAACCCAUGCCCAGAAACAGCCAGGUGUAGGGUAUUACUACUGUACCCUUGGCAAAGAAGAAACCAAGUCCGAGGGCUCACAUCACUCUCCAAGUCACCAGCUAGGGGUGAGGAUGCCGAGACUGGGUCCUGCUGUCGGCUACACAGAGCACAGCUAGGCCUCGUGCAGCCUGAAGCUCAGCACCUUCAGGGGCCGCUGACCUGCAUGCUUGGAAAAUAGGUUUUAAAAUGACCUGUGCAGCCAGGCGUGUGGUGCACACCUGUAAUCUCAGCAUCUGGCCUCAGCCUGGCCUCAAACUCACAGUGAUCCUCCUGCCUCAGCCUCCCAAGUGCUGGGACUGCAGGUGUGAGCCACCACACCCAGCCCAGACAGUUUAAACCCAUGAGGGUUUUUACCUAUUGAUUUGCUAAAAAGGAGCUGAGAGCCCUGCCUUCUCAGAGCAGUGGUUUCAGCAGGAAAUAUAGUCACUUAACAGGUGACCAUGGGACCAGGUAGGUGCCAAAGUUGUUUGUCCCCCUCCCACUCCCCUCUCAAGCAGAAAACUCACAAUUCUAAGUUGCAAAAUCCUGAAGGCCCAGAAGUGUUUGAUCUUGGCUGAGAACAAAUUUGAAGCCACCCCAUGGAGUAGCAAACCAUAAAACAAUUAGCAACAACCUUGGAAUGAACUGAUUCCAGGGAGUAAAAAACGUGCUGGACAGGAGGCAGCAGUUAUGGCCAGAAGGAGGGGAGGAUGCCCGGAGCUGUCUGAAAGCUUGCACGGAACGGUGUCCUGGUAACCCACACACAGGAGAGGCACGGUUGGAGCCGGGUUCUCAGGAAGCAGCCCAGGAACUGGACCUCAGACCCAGAGGCUGCAUCAGGGCAGCUGGGGUCCACACUUCGGGCCUCUCUGCAGGGGCAGAGUAGGGGUGAAGGCAGCAGGUUUAGAAGCCACAGCACCACCAGGGUUGUCUGGACCUUGGGCUGAAGCUACGCAGCCGCCUGAGGCUGCAGUUCUGCCUCAGUUUCCCCACCUGCCGCAGUUUCCCAGGGCAGCAUUGGGACUCUCGGGACCCAAGGGAGCUGUGUGUGGGCAUCUGGCCAGUGCUUUGGUUCAUACCUCGAACCGAGAAGGACUCUUUCCUUUGGAUUGCCCAAGACCAAACACUUGAGUGGAACCUGAAGAGAAGCUGAGACGUUGGAGGGGACUUGAGGUGUUCUGGCUCCAAUCUGUCAUAAGGUCCACUCUGAGUGACAAAGCAAAUACAUCUGUGUUUUGCAAUAUAUGAGCCACAGACUUUCUUCAGACUUCAGUCUUUAAGAAAAGGUGUUGGAGAUAAGUUCAUCAGUUUCUAUUUACUGUAACUCAAUAAUAUAAAGUUUAACUAGCGAGUAAUCCAAGUGGCUUUGGGAAUGAACACUCGGAAGCCCUCACAGAGGGAAGAGUUCAGUUCUGGACAGGUGCUUCCGCGUGCGGAAGGCUCGUGCCCCCUCCAAGGUCACUUAAGGGCAGUUUGCAAGCCACUCAUGAAAAUCGACCUGACUCGAGGCGUGGGUGUUCUCUGGGAGCCCCCAGAUUUGACCACAAAUGGUGUGUCUGUUUCUAAACAUAAACCUACCUUUAAAAGAUUCAGAUUUGCCAUCAGCAAAGGUGUAACAAAACAAAAACCACACUGCUAUACAGGCCGAAAAGAGGCUUCUCAAGAAUUGUUG